ACUACGGGAGGCAGUGGGGAAUAUUGCGCAAUGGGCGAAAGCCUGACGCAGCGACGCCGCGUGGGUGAUGAAGGCCUUCGGGUUGUAAAGCCCUGUCGGGUGGAACGAACGAUCUGGCGGCGAAUAACCGCCGGGUGUGACGGUACCACCGAAGGAAGCCCCGGCUAACUACGUGCCAGCAGCCGCGGUAAGACGUAGGGGGCGAGCAUUGUUCGGAUUUACUGCGCGUAAAGCUCGCGUAGGCGGCUGUGAAAUCCCUGGGCUUAACCGAGGUCCCGCAUCCGAUACUGUCUGGCUCGAGUCUAGGAGAGGAAAGCGGAAUUCCCAGUGUAGCGGUGAAAUGCGUAGAUAUUGGGAGGAACACCGGUGGCGAAGGCGGCUUUCCGGACUAGUACUGACGCUGAGGCGCGAAAGCUAGGGGAGCGAACGGGAUUAGAUACCCUUGUAGUC
rnacentral:rRNA from 1 species